rnacentral:rRNA from 1 species
ACGCCGCGUGAGCGAUGAAGGCCUUCGGGUCGUAAAGCUCUGUUGUUAGGGAAGAACAAGUAUCGGAGUAACUGCCGGUACCUUGACGGUACCUAACCAGAAAGCCACGGCUAACUACGUGCCAGCAGCCGCGGUAAUACGUAGGUGGCAAGCGUUGUCCGGAAUUAUUGGGCGUAAAGCGCGCGCAGGCGGUCCUUUAAGUCUGAUGUGAAAGCCCACGGCUCAACCGUGGAGGGUCAUUGGAAACUGGGGGACUUGAGUGCAGAAGAGGAAAGCGGAAUUCCACGUGUAGCGGUGAAAUGCGUAGAGAUGUGGAGGAACACCAGUGGCGAAGGCGGCUUUCUGGUCUGUAACUGACGCUGAGGCGCGAAAGCGUGGGGAGCAAACAGGAUUAGAUACCCUGGUAUUUCAUGCCGUAAACGAUGAGUGCUAAGUGUUAGAGGGUUUCCGCCCUUUAGUGCUGCAGCUAACGCAUUAAGCACUCCGCCUGGGGAGUACGGCCGCAAGGCUGAAACUCAAAUGAAUUGACGG